rnacentral:rRNA from 1 species
GUGGGGAAUAUUGGACAAUGGGCGCAAGCCUGAUCCAGCCAUGCCGCGUGUGUGAAGAAGGCCUUUUGGUUGUAAAGCACUUUAAGCGAGGAGGAGGCUCCUUUAGUUAAUACCUAAAGAGAGUGGACGUUACUCGCAGAAUAAGCACCGGCUAACUCUGUGCCAGCAGCCGCGGUAAUACAGAGGGUGCGAGCGUUAAUCGGAUUUACUGGGCAUAAAGCGUGCGUAGGCGGCUUUUUAAGUCGGAUGUGAAAUCCCUGAGCUUAACUUAGGAAUUGCAUUCGAUACUGGAAAGCUAGAGUAUGGGAGAGGAUGGUAGAAUUCCAGGUGUAGCGGUGAAAUGCGUAGAGAUCUGGAGGAAUACCGAUGGCGAAGGCAGCCAUCUGGCCUAAUACUGACGCUGAGGUACGAAAGCGUGGGGAGCAAACAGGAUUAGAAACCCUUGUAGUCC